GGAAGUAAAAGUCGUAACAUGGUCUCCGUAGGUGAGCCUGCGGAGGGAUCACUACAGAGUUCAUGCCCUCCGGGUAGAUCUCCCACCCAUUGCUAUAACUACUCUCGUUGCUUUGGCGGGCCGCUGGGCCCUGCCCGGCCGCCGGCCCCGGCUGGCGCGUGCCCGCCAGAGACCUCACAAACUCUGAAUGUUAGUGUCGCCCGAGUAACUAUACAAUCGUUAAAACUUUCAACAACGGAUCUCUUGGUUCUG
rnacentral:misc_RNA from 1 species